GGGUAACGGCCCACCGAGGCGACGAUGCGUAGGGGUUCUGAGAGGAAGGUCCCCCACACUGGUACUGAGACACGGACCAGACUCCUACGGGAGGCAGCAGUGAGGAAUAUUGGUCAAUGGCCGGGAGGCUGAACCAGCCAAGUCGCGUGAGGGAAGACGGCCCUACGGGUUGUAAACCUCUUUUGUCAGGGAGCAAGAGGCGGGUCGAGACCUGCUGUGAGAGUACCUGAAGAAAAAGCAUCGGCUAACUCCGUGCCAGCAGCCGCGGUAAUACGGAGGAUGCGAGCGUUAUCCGGAUUUAUUGGGUUUAAAGGGUGCGCAGGCGGAGGCACAAGUCAGCGGUAAAAUCGCGGGGCUCAACCCCGCUCCGCCGUUGAAACUGUGUCCCUUGAGUGCGCGAAGGGUAGGCGGAAUGCGUGGUGUAGCGGUGAAAUGCAUAGAUAUCACGCAGAACUCCGAUCGCGAAGGCAGCCUACCGGCGCGCAACUGACGCUCAUGCACGAAAGCGUGGGUAUCGAACAGGAUUAGAUACCCUGGUAGUCCACGCAGUAAACGAUGAAUGCUAUCUGUCCG
rnacentral:rRNA from 1 species